GGACAAAAUCCGGGCAGGGGGUAGGCAGCAGGGUUAAGAACAGGAUACAGGCACUGCCAGACGGGAUAGAGGGAAAACCCUGGGAUAGGGAGCAGCAGAGGGGAUAGAAAUGACCCCAGACCGGGGAGUCAUCUGCAGUCUUUGCAAAAAUAGAGUGUGGGGGCAGAGGGGCUGCCCUCUCCCCUCCCUUCCACAGCUCAGCACCCAUUUUCUACAGGGCUGCCCAGAGGAUUCAGGAGGCCCCGGGUCAAAGCAAUUUCGGGAGCCCCUUCCAUUAAAAAAAAAGUUGGAAUACUAUAGAAUACUAUAUUCUCAUGAGGGCCCCUGCACGGCAUGGGGCAAAUUGCUCCCCCCCCCCCCCCCCCGAGCGGCCCUGACUUUCUAGGGCUGAGUUCUUGAAGGCACAGGGCAGCCCAGUGCAUAGGCCAGGCAGAUCUUCCCUAAAUAACAUGGUGUAUUGAGCUGCCAAAGGAGACUUGGUUCAGGGACAUAUUUUACAUACAGCUCCUCUCUUCCACCCCAUAAAAAAAAACGGUAAUUGUCAGACAUGUUUUUAGGGUUUGAAAGAGUCCCUUAUCAGUUUCUGUGUCUGCAUAAAACCCUGUGGCAGUUCACAAAAUGCCCUAGCUGCCGUUCUCAUUGCCUGAAUUGCUCUGCCUUUUUCUUGUGAUCCAUGGAACGUAGUUGCAUUCUUUUAAGUCAUUUUCUUUUUAAACUGUUCUUUGGCUCACUCUGAGGCCUUGGCUACACUUGUGCAUUAUAGCACAAUAAGGCCUCCAAGAGCUCUCUACCUCACUCCCCAUCCACACUGGUAAGGCACGUAGAGUGCUUUGACUACGUGGCUGGAGCGCUCCUGGUACUCCAUCUCCCCGAGAGGAAUAACGCUUGUUGUGCUCUCACUGGAGCGCCGCCAGUGUGGACACCUAAUGCACUCUGAUUGGCUUCCGGAAGUGUCCCACAAUGCCUGUUCUAGCCCCUCUGGUCAUCACUUUUGAACUCUGCUGCCUUGUCCAAGCGUCAGAUCUGCCCUUUAAAUUCCCUGGGAAUUUUGAAAAUCCCCUUCCUGUUUGCUCAGCCAGGCGUGGAGUGCUCUCAGCGCAUCUUUCCAAGUGGCCAUUUCUCCACGCGCCAGGCGAUCCCCAGUAUGGAGCAAUGGCGAGGUGCUGGACCUCAUCAGUGUUUGUGGGGAGGAAGCUGUGCAGUCCCAGCUGUGCGCCAGCCAUAGGAAGUAUGAUACCUUCGGGCACAUAUCAAGGGCCAUGAUGGACAGGGGCUAUGAUGGACAGGGGCCAGGGAUGCGGUGCAGUGUCGGGUUAAAGUAAAGGAGCUGCGGAAUGCCUACCGCAAAGCCCACGAGGCAAAAGGCCGCUCCUGUGCUGCCCCCACGACCUGCAAAUUCUACAAAGAGAUGGACGUGAUACUUGGGGGCGAUCCCACCUCCACUGCAACGACCACCAUGGACACUUCCAAGCCCAGCACAGCAAGGGGGGGAGGAGGAAGAGGAGGAGGAAAGAGUGAGCGAUGGUGCUGAGGCAGGGGGGAGACACCCCGGAAUCCCUAGAUGCAUGCAGCCAGGAACUCUUCUCGAGCCAGGAGCAAGGCAGCCAGUCGUGGCGUCCGGUGCUUGAGGAAGGACAAACAACGGAGGUUCCUGGUGCAACCUUGAGAUCUCAGCCGUCAUUCUUAUCACCGGCCGACAGACUGAGAAGACUCAGGAAGAGGCCACGUAAAAGCAAAGAAGACAUGCUGCAUGAAGAAUCGAAAGGCACAGAAGUGGAGGGAGAACGAAAGGAGGAUCCACCAGGAAAACGUGAUGCACUGGCAGCAAAGCACGGAACGGCUGAUUAGCAUAAUGGAGUGUCAACCGGACUCUAUCCAGGCGCUCGUCGCCAUGCAGGUGGAACACUACUGCGCUCACCUCCCUCCCCCCUCCGCAGCCCUUGUCCCAAAACUCUUCCCCUUGUGUCCCCAUGUCCUCUCCAACCCAUUUUCCCCAACAUCUGGGUUCUUACCGCCCCCAGCUGCCUCCUACACCCGAAGCUUCACCACCCACUGUGCCUGCAAGGGGGGCCAAAAUACCAGCGAAAGAAUGACAUUCAGCCUGAAGAUAAUAAGCAAGGCUUUACUGAGAGAAGGACUUACACUCCAAGCUGUGCGGGGAGUCCCUGAGGCGCACGAAGGGGCUGCAGGGGACUCUGGCUGUUUGGGACAGCUGGCCAGGCAGGACUCCACCAAGGGGAGUCCUCUACGAUGCUAUAUCCCCCGCUCUCAUCUCAGGGUUAUAUGGGGUUUAACAGCUGGCUACAUUCAUUACAGUCAUAAAUUGUACACAUUAUAUAAACUGACUUGUUUACAGACAAAAAAUAUGCUGAACUGUACUAAACCAUAUCUUGGCAGGGUCUAUCAGGCAAAGUUCACUGAAUGGCCUGCAUCUUCCGCUCACAUUCAGUCAUGUACUCAGUCUGCCACUUAGCUCCUCGCCAAUCUUCCGCAACCUUGCCCCUACACCCACCCACAAAAACUACGACCCUUAUCCACUGCACUCAACCCCCCUCAACAUACUUUAUAGCCAUCCUGAAGUGCAGCACUCAGUGCUCAGCACUCCAGACAGGAUUAGAGAGUAUGAAAUCAGGACAUACUCAAGCCUAUGAGUGAACUGGUACCCACCCCACCCCCUUGCCCUUUUGGUAUUUCUGUGUUACUUUGUUUUUUUUGUUUUUUUCAAUAAAUGAAUUUUCUUUUCAAUAAAUGGAGUUUUUUACUUUGAAAACGUACUUUAUUAGUGCAUAAACCAAAAUAUACCUUAGCCCAGGAAAGCAACAAGUACUGCAAGUCAGUGUCAAACACAGCCACUGCACUUAACUCCCAUGCAGAGCAGCAGAUAUUACUGCUGGCUUUCAGCCUCAAAUUGCUCCCUGAAGGCAUCCCUAAUCCUUGCAGCCCCACGCUGGGCCCCUCUAAUAGCCCUGCUCUCUGGCUGUGCAAAUUCAGCCUCCAGUGUUUGAACCUCCGAGGCCCAUGCCUGAGUGAAGCUUUCACCCUUCCCUUCACAAAUAUUACGGAGGGUACAGCACGGGGAUGUAACCGUGGGGAUGCUAUCUUCGGCCAAGUCUAGCUUCCCAUAAAGAGAGCGCCAGUGGCCCUUCAAAUGACCAAAAGCACACUCCACAGUCAUUUGGCACUGGCUCAGCCUGUAGUUGAACCAUUCCUGACUGCUGUCCAGGCUCCCUGUGUAGGGUUUCAUGAGCCACGGCA